UUGAUCUAAUACUUGGAGCGGCACAGACAAGGAAACAAACAAUUUAAAGGACAGUCAUGUACACACACAUUCCACGGUUUCUAUAGAUACUCCGAUCAGGAUUUUUGGGGCUAAUAAUCCUCCGAUACCGAUUUCUGGAAAAAUGAGCCAGAAUUUCGCACUCAGUGACAGGACUGUGUUUUUCCAAGAAACAAACGUAGAUUUUUUUUUUAGAGAAAUAUAAGCAUAUUUGCAUGGAAAGAGUCUGUUCCUCUUCUCAUCCAAAUCAUGUGCCUACUUUCCACAGCCAUACACGAGUGCAAAGAUAAUCCCUGGUGCAUAUUUUUCGUACUCUCCUCCGUGAAGAUGCAAAUGUCUAACGAGUUAUCCUGGCUCCACCAAACGCACCCAUUGCUGAAAUGACGUCGACGUCUGACGAAUACAGCCACCUUAAGGCUACUGGUGCUGUAUCUCGGUGCAUCCAGGGACCGUGUACCGGGGGUGAUAUGUCAGGAGGGCGGGCAGGCAGCCCGAACAGCAUACGGCUCCCACACGGCUGCUCAGCGUCAUGGAGCCAGUGCUUAACCCCAGCCUUCAAUCAGCGUCCCAACAGAAAGAAACAGAUUGCCAUCAGAAUUUUUGGAUUUCCUUUCACUGAACAGACCAUGGGCUGCAUUACCCUUCAGAUAAGAGCGAGAAGGUUACAGGUGUCUCAGCCUUGACCUCUUUCAGGCGAGGACAGGCCAGCACUCUGACACGGUGCUCUGUGAAAUGGGGGCUUGGUUGUAAUGAUGUCAUAUAUGAUGGGAACCCAGGGUCCAGAUGUCAGCGAAUCAGGGAUCAGCCUGUUUCAGGAAGGUUGCUAUUGACAACCAUUGCAGAAUUCAAUUUAGCUGAAUUGAAGGGCAUUUAUUUGUGCGUUCCAGAAGUGCAACUUGAUCAAAUUUUGUUUUAAUGUACUGUAUGGAACCCCCCCCUAGUUGAGCAUCAGCAGCUUGAAAAUGUGUACAGCCCUGCUCCUGAUCACUAUAGCGAUGCCAUGGAGAUGAAUGAAUGAAUGGGAUGCUGUCAGUCAUUGACAGGGCCCCCAAGGGAGGGAACUCACUUUCACAAGACGCCAGGCACGGCGAGACGGCCAGCUUCUGGGGCUCACAAGUGACGCGGGAAUCAUGGAGGGGAGCAGACGGCUGCUGCACGUCGACAUGCGUGGCGCUGCAUGACAGUAGAGGACAUAACUACUCUGCAAAACAUUUAAACAAGUGCAUGGUGUAAGUCAUCACAUGCAAAAAUGUUAAUUCAUUUGUCAGAAACGUUCUCUCAGUGGUUAUGUGUAAUGGAAAUAGUUCCAAAAUAGAGGUUUAAUUGGAUGAUAAAAUUAGAAAUGACUUGUCACGAGCCACACAGCCACGUUUUCUUACACGCUGCAGUGGCUGCUGCCUGUGACGACGUC